UUGAUCUGGGCUCAGAAUCACGCUUGCGGCGUGCCUAACACAUGCAAGUCGAGCGGGAAAGCCCUUCGGGGUAAGUACAGCGGCGGACGGGUGAGCAACACGUGAGAAUCUGCCCUUUAGUGAAGAAUACUCCCGAGAAAUCGGGCAUAAUACUGCAUAAGUCCCUGCGGGGAGAAAGAUGGCUUUAUGCUGUCGCUGAAGGAUGAGCUCGCGUACUAUUAGCUAGUUGGUGGGGUAAUGGCCUACCAAGGCGAUGAUGGUUAACCGGCCUGAGAGGGUGUUCGGUCACACUGGAACUGAGAUACGGCCCAGACUCCUACGGGAGGCAGCAGUGGGGAAUCUUGCGCAAUGGGCGAAAGCCCUGACGCAGCGACGCCGCGUGCGGGAAGAAGGCCUUCGGGUUGUAAACCGCUUUCAGGAGGGACGAAGCCACUCGGGUUAAUAGCCCAGAGGGUGACGGUACUUCCAGAAGAAGCCCCGGCUAACUACGUGCCAGCAGCCGCGGUAAUACGUAGGGGGCAAGCGUUGUCCGGAUUUAUUGGGCGUAAAGAGCGUGUAGGCGGCCAUGCAGGUCCGUUGUGAAAACUGGAGGCUUAACCUCCAGACGCCGGUAGAAACCGUGUGGCUAGAGCCCGGAAGAGGAGAGUGGAAUUCCUGGUGUAGCGGUGAAAUGCGCAGAUAUCAGGAAGAACACCCGUGGCGAAGGCGGCUCUCUGGGACGUGACUGACGCUGAGACGCGAAAGCGUGGGGAGCAAACAGGAUUAGAUACCCUGGUAGUCCACGCCGUAAACGAUGGGUGCUAGGUGUGGGCGGUGUCGACUCCGUCCGUGCCGAAGCUAACGCAUUAAGCACCCCGCCUGGGGAGUACGGCCGCAAGGCUAAAACUCAAAGGAAUUGACGGGGACCCGCACAAGCAGCGGAGCAUGUUGUUUAAUUCGACGCGACGCGAAGAACCUUACCAGGGCUUGACAUGCACGGGAAUGUCGUGGAAACACGGCAGCCUUCGGGCUCGUGCACAGGUGGUGCAUGGCUGUCGUCAGCUCGUGUCGUGAGAUGUUGGGUUAAGUCCCGCAACGAGCGCAACCCCUGUCCCAUGUUGCCAGCGUGAAAGACGGGGACUCAUGGGAGACUGCCGGUGACAAAUCGGAGGAAGGUGGGGAUGACGUCAAGUCAUCAUGCCCCUUAUGUUCUGGGCUACAAACGUGCUACAUUGGCCGGUACAAAGGGCUGCAAACCCGCGAGGGUGAGCGAAUCCCAAAAAGCUGGUCCCGGUUCGGAUUGGAGGCUGAAACUCGCCUCCAUGAAGGUGGAGUUGCUAGUAAUCGCGGAUCAGCAACGCCGCGGUGAUAUGUUCCCGG
rnacentral:rRNA from 1 species